CAUGAGUUUUUUUUUCUAUCCAACUUUAAUCGUCCGUCUUAUAUAAUUUUUUUACGGUUAGUAUUUUUGUUGUUAUUAGAUGAUAAAAAUGAAUAUUACUUUAUACAUGACUUAUUUUUUUUAACUUUUAAAAAAUUAAUAAAACGGAUGAUUAAAGUUUGACAUAAAAACUGAUGACCACGCUUAAA
rfam:Oryza meridionalis cultivar OR44 (W2112) chromosome 3, whole genome shotgun sequence.